GUGAGGAAUAUUGGUCAAUGGGCGCAAGCCUGAACCAGCCAUGCCGCGUGCAGGAAGACGGUCCUAUGGAUUGUAAACUGCUUUUAUUUGGGAAUAAACUCCGGUACGUGUACCGGCCUGAAGGUACCAAAUGAAUAAGCACCGGCUAACUCCGUGCCAGCAGCCGCGGUAAUACGGAGGGUGCAAGCGUUAUCCGGAAUCAUUGGGUUUAAAGGGUCCGCAGGCGGUCUUAUAAGUCAGUGGUGAAAGCCUACAGCUCAACUGUAGAACUGCCAUUGAUACUGUAGGACUUGAAUUCGAUCGAAGUGGGCGGAAUGUGACAUGUAGCGGUGAAAUGCUUAGAUAUGGCACAGAACACCAAUUGCGAAGGCAGCUCACUAAGGCGAUACUGACGCUGAGGCACGAAAGCGUGGGGAGCAAACAGGAUUAGAAACCCCAGUAGUCC
rnacentral:rRNA from 1 species